AGUUCCGUCGACUCUGAUACCGGUACGACGAACGGAAUCGAACAACGGAAGAACUCUUUUGCGAUGGUGAAUAGGCCGAGAGAUUUCUUCGUCUGCAUCAAUGGAGACUACGUCAACACCAAGCUCUCUUAAACGUAACCCAAGCUUCUCGCCGACGCGUGAAGCGGUCUUUGAGUCCCAGAAAUGGUUGGAGUGAGGGAA